AUUGAACGCUGGCGGCAGGCCUAACACAUGCAAGUCGAACGAGAGGCGGACGGGUGAGUAAUGUCUGGGAAACUGCCUGAUGGAGGGGGAUAACUACUGGAAACGGUAGCUAAUACCGCAUACCAUCAGAUGUGCCCAGGUGGGAUUAGCUAGUUGGUGGGGUAACGGCUCACCAAGGCGACGAUCCCUAGCAGGUCUGAGAGGCUGACCAGCCACACUGGAACUGAGACACGGUCCAGACUCCUACGGGAGGCAGCAGUGGGGAAUAUUGCACAAUGGGCGCAAGCCUGAUACAGCCAUGCCGCGUGUAUGAAGAAGGCCUUCGGGUUGUAAAGCACUUUCGGCGGGGAGGCGUUACCCGCAGAAGAAGCACCGGCUAACUCCGUGCCAGCAGCCGCGGUAAUAC
rnacentral:rRNA from 1 species